rnacentral:rRNA from 1 species
CCCCAGUAACGGCGAGUGAAGCGGCAACAGCUCAAAUUUGAAAUCUGGCCCCAGGCCCGAGUUGUAAUUUGCAGAGGAUGCUUUUGGCGCGGUGCCUUCCGAGUUCCCUGGAACGGGACGCCAUAGAGGGUGAGAGCCCCGUACGGUUGGACACCAAGCCUUUGUAAAGCUCCUUCGACGAGUCGAGUAGUUUGGGAAUGCUGCUCAAAAUGGGAGGUAUAUUUCUUCUAAAGCUAAAUAUAGGCCAGAGACCGAUAGCGCACAAGUAGAGUGAUCGAAAGAUGAAAAGCACUUUGAAAAGAGGGUUAAACAGCACGUGAAAUUGUUAAAAGGGAAGCGCUUGUGACCAGACUUGCGUCCGGUGAAUCACCCAGCUCUCGCGGCUGGGGCACUUCGCCGGCACAGGCCAGCAUCAGCUUGCCGUCGGGGACAAAAGCUUCAGGAACGUAGCUCUCUUCGGGGAGUGUUAUAGCCUGUUGCAUAAUACCCUUCGGCGGGCUGAGGUACGCGCUCCGCAAGGAUGCUGGCGUAAUGGUCAUCAGCGACCCGUCUUGAAAAGGA